rnacentral:rRNA from 1 species
UACAGAGGUCCCGAGCGUUGUUCGGAUUCAUUGGGCGUAAAGGGCGUGUAGGCGGCCUGCUAAGUCUGAUGUGAAAUCCCCUCGCUCAACGAGGGAACUGCGUCGGAUACUGGCAGACUCGAGUACCGGAGAGGAAGGUGGAAUUUCCGGUGUAGCGGUGAAAUGCGUAGAUAUCGGGAGGAACACCGGUGGCGAAGGCGGCCUUCUGGACGGAUACUGACGCUGAGACGCGAAAGCGUGGGGAGCAAACAGG